rnacentral:lncRNA from 1 species
CUCCUAGGUGAUUCAAACACACUGAAGCUUGACAGGCUAGAAUGAGUUAAUUUUAGUGUAAGGAAGAUGUGGCUUGUUCAUAACCUUUGUGGGAGAGAAUGUGUCACUCUGUGUUUAGGACUUAGGUUUCUUCUUCUCUCCUUUCAUUUUCCUUCUUCUCUUUCUUCAUUCCUCCCAGGCCAGGCAGCACAGCUCAGUGGUUAGAGCAUCUCCUCUGGAUUUGCCUCGCGAUCUCACCAUUAGCAGUGAUACCUUUAUGGAAGCAUGUGCUAUGAGAGGACUGUGAAAGGGAACCCAAGGGUUGAUUUGGGAAGCUGGCAGUCAUCGGCCAAAUCCUGACCAUCUUGGGCUGACUGCUGCAGAGGGUGCAGGUCAGAGUGUAUCAUCAUAUAUGUUCUGGCCACUGGCUUUGGACAGUAGUAUAUGUGGGUGUUUGUUCUCCUCUGGAUGAUAAACAGCUCAACAACAGUGCCCUUUUUUGCUCUUCUUGGGCCUUCCCCAGCGCAAGACUUGACAUCUGAGCUCAUCAGUGCUUCCUGAAUGAGUGAAUAAAAGACGUGCUGCAGCCACUGAGUCAUGCACCACUGAGCUAUUGCAAGCUGAAAGGAACUCAGCGGUUCAUAAACACUGGCUUUGACCACCUUAGCUCAAUUCAAGUCAGCAAAUAUUAGUGAUCAUGUAUCUUGCAUCAGGGCCCAUACCCGAAGCCACAGAAAGUCCUGGGGGCAGCCAGAUCCAAUAAUUAUAAUUUCUCUGUAAGUUUUCCUAUGCCUCGCUUAUAUUUGAAGCAUGAUUACAAUGGAAUCCAACUGGCCAUACAAUCAGUAUUUGUAAAAUAAAAACGAAAUCAGCUCUACAUGCUGUCAUUUCCAAGAUGAUGUUAAUGGAGGUACUCUUGUUUUACCUUCACAACCACAUUAGGAGGUAGGUAUUCUUAUUGUCCACAUUUUACUGAUGAGCAAACUGAGGCUCUGAGAAGAUAACUCAUCUGGCACCUGGCAGUGGGGAACUUGAACCGGGGUCUGGAACUCCGCCUGUUCCAUAGGCUGGUGGUAGGGCAUAGGAAGCGGGUCGUGGAUGGACUUGGGCAAGAAGAAUAGAGGUGCAGUUCCCCUGAGAAAGGGGGAGGGAUGCUGGUCAUCGGGACACAGCUGAGGUUGCCACGCCACAUCCCCUCCUCCAGGCAUGCACAGCAUUGUGGGAGGGGGCUGGCCUGUCACACCCUCAACACUGAGACCCAUCAAUGAGAAGAAUUUCCUGAGUUUAUAAAACAGCAACAGGUUAGGCAGCAUCAUGAGUGAAUUGAUCACCAAGCUGAAUCUUACUUAACUCCUAGCUUUAAAAUAAUCGGCAGGAAGGAGAACAAAAAGCCACACGUGUGUUUACACACAGGCACCCCGCCCUGCAGGCCCCAAGGAGAGGUUCAAAUCAAGGCAGCCUUUCCUGUGGGCGUGGGUGAGGUGCCCCGCACAGGAGCCAGCUUUGCACUUAGUGCAGACUAGACAGCCAUGUAGUUUAGCAGGGGCAGCAUUGACAGAAACCAGAGAGCUGUAAAUGCCACACUGGGGUGGCUGGGCCACAUGUGCUAUUAACCAGACAGUCUUGUUCCAUGUCUGGAGUCUGAGCACAUUUUAGGCCCUGGUGGCUGGGCAGCACCCUGUGGGGACCGUUAACCACUUAGCUGAGACCCGUUGAGCAGAUGCCUCUGAAAUCUAUGCUGGUUUGAACCCCCCCUGGGGUAUUUUGUGCUCUUAGGGACACCAUAGUAAUUGAUGUAAUAUGCCUAAGAUGGACUGAAACUGUCUGAUAUUGGAAUAAAUUUAGCCUCACUGGUAAUAAAAGAUAAGUGCAUGAAAACAAGAUGUCAUUUUACUAUAAUUUUCCCUGGCCAUUUUAUUAUAAUUUUUAGAUUGGCCAAGGUUAAGAAAGAUGACAGCUCUGUGGGCUAGAGGGUGGAGAGACAAGCCCUCUCCUACACUGGUGAGGGGUGCCAGGAUUCUGUAGCAACACCUUUGAGUGAGCAUAACCUUGGACUCAAACAAUUUUCCUUACAGGCAAUAACCUACGAAAUACUGGGAUAUACGCACAAAGAUCCAUGUGCCAGGAUAUGUGUUGGAGGAUUUAUAUUUGGAGAAAAUUAAAUGCGCAAUGAGAGAGGGGAAGGCUGAAGCUCAAAGAAGCAAGGCAACUCUCAGGGGUCACAGAAGUGAUAAACUGAGGAGUUGGAAUUCCAGAGUCCAAGCUGGUGACGAGCACCGUGAACUCCUCUUCUCUGGCCACCACUCUACUCUACAACAAAGUCUAUAAAUUAUGGCCAUGGCCAGAUCCAGCUCGCCACCUGUUUCUCUGCUGUUCCCAAGGAAGUACGGGACGGAAAUUAAAGAAGAAAGUGGUUCCACAGGUUUGGUGGCUACAAAAAGAUUUCCUCGAUAAACACUGCCCACAGUCACUCAUUUGUGAAAGCUGCAUGAUGUGAAAUUAAACUCGGGCAGAGGUGCUGUGGGUGAUGAUGUCUCGGUGGCUUGGGGAAAUGAAAGCCAUUCAUCUCAGGCAAAUGUGACAGGCAGGACCAUUGGCUUUCCGUCACCUAUGGGCUGCCUUCUCAUGGCAGUGGCCUAUGCAGGCCUUACGUUUUUGCAGCAAAUUUGUAAUGAACCAAUCAGUGGCCUUCAUGUCAGGCAAUCUAGGAAGGUUUUGGAAGUGGGACUACUUGCCCCACUGUUGGUGAGUAUUAGAUAUCCCUUUAGGAAGGUUCAAGAGCCCAUGCUGGCCAGGCGCGGUGGCUCAUGCCUGUAAUCCCAGCACUUUGGGAGGUCGAGGUGGGCAGAUCACUUGAGGUUAGGAAUUCAAGACCAGCCUGGACAACACAGCAAGACCCCAUCUCUACUAAAAAUACAAAAAUUAGCUGGAUAUGGUGGUGGGCGUCUGUAGUCCCAGCUACAUGGGAGGUUGAGGCAGGAGAAUCUCUUGAACCGGGGAGGUGGAGGUUCCAGUAGAGCCAAGAUUGCACCACUGCAUGCCAGCCUGGCAGCAGAGUGAGACUGUGUCUCACAACACACACACACACACACAGAGAGAAAGAGAGAGAGAGAGAGAGAGAGAGAGAGAGAGAGAGAGAGAGAGAGAGAGAAACAGAGCCCAUAGAAAACGUCUUGUGAAUGCUUAAACGCACCUGGCUCCUUUUACAAACUUCUUUCCACUUCUCUUGAGUCCCAUGUGAAAGUUUUCACUGCCCCCACCGGCUCCUCACCUUCUCCUUCAGAGUCUCACAUGCAUCUCUUUCAGUCUCAAGAGGUGCUAGAAAAAAUGCUGGAUUCCUUAAAGGAGUGUUUAUGUUGGAAACCAGCAUCACUAGGAAAUGGCUGGUCCUGACCCCAAGCAACUUAUCUCUGGCGGAGGUCGGAGAGGCUGGUACCCGUCUGCUCCCGACUGACCCUCAUUCCUUCCUGGUUGGGUGGUAGGAACUAACAGGCCAGGCCCCUUGGUGUGGGUUUCUGGCUUCCUAGGUUCCCUGAGGUCACAUCUUUUGUUCUCAUCAUCAUCUGUCUGUUCCCAGUGAAGGAGAACUGCUUCAGGACACUGUUUCUCAAAUUUCACUUCUUUGCACACAACCUUCAUGGUUUUUGCUCCAGCUAUGUACAAUUAAAGCUACUAUUAACUUAAUAUUUUUGUUGACAUAAAAGUUUACUUAAACUUAUGUCACUAAGGUAAAUGGAAAGCCAAUAUAAUGUUCUAUAAAUAGACUUUACAAGUAAAGAGAAAUACAGUGAAUCAUGUUAUUGUCUGCUAGCUGAUACUUGUGCCUAAGAAGGCUCUUAACCCGAGAACUGCCCGUCUUUUGUUAAAAAGGAAGAUGGACAUGUGUUGGAGAAGGGUUAAGGACCUCCUAGCACCAUCCUGAGCCUUUCUCCUUGAUUUAAUUGAAUGGACUGAAUGAGGAUAGAAAAAGAGUCACUUACUCUGGGAUUCAAUGCUGUUUCAAGCGGUGGCCCCUCUACCAUCCAAAGUCACUUGGGGUCACACGCUUUGGGAGACACCAUUCCAGUAGAUAUUGUAUCUUCAGGCCCAGCUUGUUCUGGCCUGGAGAUCCUCUAUAAGGGGUCCCCAAAUUGGGCCACCCUUGAACUAGGAAUUCCAGGUCUUGGGCAAUUAUUAGUGCUGGAGCCAUUGUUGCUUAGUGCAUAUUUUCCCAGUAGACAUUGGCCUUAGAGUUAAAUUAAAACUCCAGGAUGGGAUCUAGAAAUGAGCUCAUAUCAGUCUUCUCCCAGGGGGUCUUAUGAGUGUUAAAGUCUGUGGGACCUUUCAUCCCCACCUUAGCUUCUUGUCAGCCCCACACGGACUUUGAAGGAAGAGGAUGGUCUUCCCAACCCCCACAGCAUCCUCCGUGGACACAGCAAGCAACUCUGCAGGGUGUGCAUUCACUUAACACAUAUUAAGUGUGUGCCAGGUGCCAGACAUUGUGACAGCUAUGGCAGGGCCGGGGGCAGGGGUCCUAGAAAGAGGAGGAGAGCAUGGAUGCAAAGCCCAACCCAGACUUUGAGGCGAUUGUUUUUUAAGGCUGUUUUUAGCACUUGAAGGUACAUGUCUACCUCCAAAAACUUUUCAUAAACAAAUGGGAAGGUUUUGCUUUCGGCAAUGGCAGCUAACUUGUUUUGGACAAAUCUUCCUGCUGAGAACAACUAGAAAACCUGGGCGUAAAAAACAAAAUCUGAUCAAAGGCUUUGGAAAGCUACCAAAGGCAACCAGGAUUCAAGGGGCCAAGAUCCCAGAAAGAAAAGAAACCGUUAACGCUGAGUCUGAUAUUUCAAACCACUUUUCCCCCUAAGGCAUUCAUUGAUUUGAAGGCAGAUUUAUGGAGCUAGGGCAAAAAAUACGGGCAUUCAGAGACAGCCACAGAAGGAGGGCCCUGGUAAACACCCUAGGAUUGAUUUAGGACCCCGGAGAGCUGCUCCUUAGCAGUAAGGGAGAGCUAGAAACAGACCGUCCUUCAGAAGGACUGAAGCUCGGCUCUGAGCCAUUAAAAUCCAUGAUUGAAUCAGGUUCAUCUUUUCCUAACCUAACUGCCUGUUAGAAGCAAAAUAUACCCUCUUUGGAAAGAGACUGGAAGUUUUUUCCAUCCCUCCUCAUAUUUUACUGCUCUGUAUUUUAUUCCAGCCACUGUUGCCGCAACUAAUUUUGUGCAGCUGUAACUCAACAUCACCUGCCUCAGCCUUUGCUAUCUCUAACUUCCCAUGUCAGGGCUACUCUGACGCCUCUGUCCAUGGGAAUCUACCUUUCCAUCACGCACAUGCAUCCUGGAAGUGAAAUGGAAUUAACCACCCAUAAGCAACCCUUGACCAAUGGGGAAUGUGAGCUGGGGAAUAAAUGCUUCUUUCUUCCAUUCUUUAGGCAGGACAUUUUGAGACGCAAUUAGAUUUUUGUUGUUGUUGUUUACGAGGUCUUAGCUUGGAUCAACCCCCAGUUACCCCCAGUAAUGACCGAUUCAAGAGUGUACUCAUGAAUUGGCUUUCUCUCUUUCCCUGUCACAUUCUUCUCAGAAUCCCACUCCUGUGUGCUUGGAUUACUAACAAAAUUAACCUGCACACAAAUCAAGGUCUCAGGUUCUCCUUUCUGGAGGAAUCCAGGCUAAGACUAAUACAAUAUAGGGGGUUAAAAUAUUCUACACUUUUAAUCUACAAGGUCUAGCACACAAUUACAAAAAUGCUGGGAAGACAAAAAGGCAAGAUUAGAACAAAAACCAAGAAAAAAUACAGUCAACAGAAAUAGAACUACAGGGAAUUCAGAUAUUGGCAUUAUUUGACAGGGACUUUAAAAUAAUAAUUAUUAAAACACUCAAAGCACUAGGUGACAGGAUGAGGAAUUUUGGCAGGGAAUAACAAACUGUAGGAGAGAAUCAAAUAAAAUUUCUACUGAGAAAUGCUUGAAAAUGAGAGCUCAGUGGAUGUGUUUUUGAUAGUAGAUUAGAUGCAGCUGAAAAGAAAAUUAGUAAUCUGAAAAAUAAAUUAGAAGAACAUAUGUAAAUGAAGCAAAGAAAGAUAAAAGGUGGAAAAUGAAAGAACAUGAGACACAUAAUAAGAUGCAACAGUCUAAAACAUGGAAUUGGAAUCACAGAGGAGAGAGAGAAUAUGGAAGAAAUACGAUUAAAGAUAUUUGAUGAGAAUUAUUCAAAAAUGAUAAAAGACAUUCAUCCAUAUAUUAAAGAAGCUAUAAGAACCUUAUGCAGUAAAUACAAAGAAAAUCAUCCCUAGUCAUAUCAUAGUCAAACUGCUUAAAGCUAAAGACAAAGAGAAAACCUUAUAAAGCAUCCAGAGAGAAGAUAUGUUACUUUCAAAGAAACAAAGAUAACAGCUAAAAAUAAUGGAAGCCAAAAGGCAAUAAAAUGAUAGCUUCAAAGUGCAGGAAAAAAAAACUAUCAACCUAGAUUCUCUAUCCAGAAUACUACUUUUAAAAAUUAAGGAAAAAUGGAGACAUUCUUUGACAAAAGCCAAGAUAAUUUCUCACCAGAAGAUUAAUGCUAAAGAAGAUAAUAAGUAGUAUUCUCCAGGUAGAAGAAAAGUGAUCCUUCAUGGCAAUUUAGGAAUUCAGGAUGAAAUAAAGAACAAUGUAGAGGAUAAAUAAUAAAUGGAUAGAUCUAAAUGAAUACUGAUUGCAUAAAUUAAUAUGUUUAUCUUUUUAUAUGAUAGGGUUUGUAAUGAUAAUAGGUUUAUUAUUGUGGUAACAUGUUUAUAAUUAUUACAUUAAGAUAAUAUACAGUUGACUCUUAAACAACACUGGGGUUAGUGGUGGUGACCUGCUGCACAGUUAAAAAUCCAUGUAUAACUUUUUAUUGAUUUAUUUUUAAUUACAAUUUUUUAAAUUUAAGAGAUAGGUUUUGCUAUGUUGCCCAGGCUGGUCUCAAACUCAUGGGCUCAAGUGAUCAACCCACCUCAGCCUCCAAAACUGCUGGGAUUACAGGUAUGAGCUACUGCACCUGGCCAAAAAUCCAUGUAUAACUUUUGACUCCUCAAAAACUUAACUACUAAUAGCCUAUUGCUGAUCAGAAGCCUUACUGAAAACACAAAUAGUUAGUUAACACAUAUUUUAUAAGUUACAUGGAUUGUAUGCCAUAUUCUUAUAAUAAAGUAAGCUAGGGAACCUGCACAUUGUGCACAUGUACCCUAAAACUUAAAGUAUAAUAAUAAUAAAAUUAAAAAAAAUCAUAAGGAAGAGAAAAUAUAUUUACUAUUUGUUAAGUGGUGUGUGGAUCAUCAUAAAGGUCUUCAUCCUUGCCGUCUUCAUACUGAGUAGGCUGAGGAGCAAGAGGAAGAGGAGGGGUUGGUCUUGGCUGUCUCAGUGGUGGCAGAAGUGAAAGGAAAUCUAUGUGUAAGUAGACCUAUGCAGUUCAAACCCACGUUGUUCAAGGGUCAACUAUACAUAGAAUUGAAACACAUGACAAUAAAAACAUUUAAAUUAGGAGGUAGUAAGUGGAGUUAAAGUGUUCCAAGGACCUUUUGUUUUCUGACAAAUGGUAAAAGCACACACACACACGCACAUAUAUAUGCAUAUGUGCGUGUGUGUGUGUGUGUGUGUGUGUAGAUGGAAACUUAGGGAUUCAGAAUGAAAUAAAUGUGUGUAGGGGUGUGUGUGUGUUUAUGUGUGUGUGUGUGUGUGUGUGUGUGUGUGUGUGUGUAUACUAUUUUUUGAGAUAGGGUCUUGCUCUGUUGCCCAGGCUGGAGUGCAGUGGCACAAAUAUGGCUCGCUGCAGCCUCGGCCUCUUGGGCUCAAGCAGUGCUUCUUCCAACUCAGCCUCCUAAGUAGCUGGGACCACAGAUGCAUGCCACCACAUCCAGCAAAUUUUAAAAUUUUUUCGUAGAGACAGGAUCUCACAUGCUGCCCAGGCUAGACUUAUUUUUUCUGGUACAUCAGGGAUGUAUGUUGCAAUCUCUAGGUAAAUCCAUAAGACAGUAAAAGAAUGUAUAAAUAAUAAGAUAAUUGAGAGUGUUAUGUAAUAAUACAUAUUGAAUAUUUUCAAAAAGAAAAUAAUGAAGAUGGGAAAAAGGGAGCCUAUACUAGAUGAUGCAAAAGAAAGGUAACAAGAUGAUAAUAUAUUUAAAAUCGAAUGAAUUACAUAUUUUAAUUAAGGGAUGAAGAUUAUUAGACUGUUUAGAAAAACAAAGUCAACAAUAUGCUGCUUACAAGGGACUAUCAUAAACAGGAGGAUAGAUUGAAAAUAAAUGGAUAGAAAAAGAUAGAUGAAAAGAAAGCUGAAAUAGCUUUGCUAAUAUCAGACAAAGUAUAAUUUCAGGCAAAAAUAUUACUAGAGGUAAAGAGGGAUAUUUCUUUUUUUUUUUUUGAGAUGGAGUUUUGUUCUUGUUGCCCAGCCUAGAGUGCAAUGGCGUGAUCUCAGCUCACCGCAACCUCUG